UAUUAUCUUUAACGUGAAACA
rnacentral:piRNA from 1 species